CAGAUCUCAUAACGGAUGGUUGUGAGCCACCAUGUAGUUGCUGGGAAUUGAACUCAGGACAUCUAGAAGAGCUCCUGGUGCUCUUAACCUCUGAGCCAUCUCUCCAGCCCUCUAGGCAGGUUUCUGAGGGAGUUUCUAAUGUGGGUGGAAUCAUACCACCAGUUGGAAUCAUAGACUUAAUAAAGAGAAGAAAGAAAACUGAGCACCAGCAUCCAUGGCUCUCUGCUUCCUGAAUACAGAUGCAAUGUGAUGAUGUUCUUGACAGACACCAGGCCUUCCCUGACAUGACAGUAUGUGCCUUCAAACUGUGAACCAAAUAAAGUGCUUAUUUCAGAGCACCAGAAAGUAACAGAUACAGAAAAAUUGGUACUGAGUCCUGAGGGUGUGGCUGUGAUAAACUUGACCACAUGGUUCAGAGGUCUUUGGAACUGAUGUGCAGGAGAAAUGUGGAAGAGUUUGGAAAUACAGGCUAGAGAAACCUUGAAUGCUGUCAACUGAACUUAAUAGAUUAUUCUGGGGAGAGUUGAGAAGGUCAUACUUAAAAGAGAAAUGUGAACAGUGUGUGCCUCUUAUGAGAUUUCACAAGGAAAAGCCUCUGUUGAGAACUAGCAUAGAGGCUAUUCAUGCUACAUUCUAGAAUACAUCGUGGCUACAUUCUGCCAGUGCCCUGGAAAUUUGAGUGAGACUGAAUUAAGAAAUAAUAGACUAAGUUGGUCGAUAGAGGAAAUUUCAAGGUGGCAUAACAUUCAGCCUGUGGCUAGCUUAAUGAUUAGUGUUCUUAUCCAGGUUUUACAGUGAGCAGGAAUAUCUAGUGGAGGAGAAAGAUGAAAAAUGUGCAUUUUGGCGAGGAAAGUAGUGUGAGAAAGUUCAUAAAGUUGACAACAAAGAGAGCAAAAAAGCAGCUGUAAUUGUUAAAGAGUUAGGACAAUUAAGGGAAGACUCACACUUUGCACUGGGUCAAUAGCAUGACCGUGCCCAUCACAGGCUUUAUCCUGUGAAACGUAAACUCAUUUGAAAGGACACAGCUUAAACCUAGAAUUCAGCUGAAGGGCUCUCUUCUUGAAAACAACCUCCUAGGUUCAGCCUUCAAGGUACACAGAGGCCACUACAACUAUAAGAGAAGGGAGCCAAACUACAUCUUGAGCUGCCCCAGAACAUGGCAGCAUUGUCUAGAUGCAUCUGGAUCUGCAGGCUGAACAAAAUGCAUGAACUACAGUGUCAUAGAGGCUUACACCAGGGUUUUGAAAAGCUGAUGUGUGGCAGGGUUAGAUUUGCUACAAGGAGAAUCCUGGACUCUUACUUCAAAGCUGUGAAGGUGACACUUAAGUGGGAAUGGGCAUCUCAGGAUGUUGAAGAAGCCAGCGUCUUGAGAAGUUGAAUGUACAGAGUGGAGUCAGCACGAGAGAUAUUACAUGUACUGUGGGUUAUAGAGCUGUAGGAGUGGCACUACUGAACACUGCUGAAGCUUGCAUGGUGCCACCUAAAGCCCCAGAUGCUAGACAUGCAGCUCUAGGAUUUGGAAUUUGCCAUUCUGGGAUUCGUUCUUGCUCUGUUCAAUCUUUCCUUGCUGUGCCUCCAUUCCUCACCUUUGGAACAAGAAUAUUCUGUGCCAUUGCCUGUUGGAAGUAUUUGACUUUAUUUUUGCACGGUUAAGAGAUCAUUUUUUGGGGCUGGAGAGGUGCCUCAGCUGUUAAGAGUGCAUUAUUACUCUUAAAGAGGAUCUGAAUUUUAUUCCCAGAACACAUGCCAGAUGGUUCACAACUGCCUGCAACUCCAGGGGGCCCAAUGUCUCUGUUCUCUGCAGGUACUCAGCACACACAUGCCACAUACUCACACACUCACACAAAUGGACACACAUACACAUGAUUAAAAGUAAUUUCAUCCAUUUACCUGCAAUUUUCAUGAUAUCACUUUUCUUUAUAGCUGAGUCAUAUUCUAUUGUAUAUAUGUAGCACAUUUCCAUUGUCCAUCUGUUGAAGGACAUUCAGGUUGUUUUCAUUUUGUGCUAUUGUGAAUAGGGUGGCAAUGAACCUGGCUGAACAAGUGUCUGUGGAGUAGGAUCCCCAGCCCUUUGGGCAUUUGCCAAGGAGUGGUAUAGCUGGGUCAUAUGGUAGAUUCAUUUUUAGGGUUUUUUUCCUUUUCCUUCCCACAUUUUCUUUUUUCUUUCUCUCCCUCUCUUUUUCCCUCUCGUCUUGUCUUGUCUUGUCUUGUCUUGUCUUGUCUUUCUUGAUUCUCUAUUGACUUCCAGAGUUGCAUUCCCACCAACAGUGAAUGUGGGUUCCUUUCUUUACAAUCUUGCUAGCAUUUGUGAUGAGUUGUUGAUCUUAGCUAUUCUGACUGGGGAAAGAUGAUAUCUUUAAGUUGUUUUAACUUUCAUUUUUAAGGAUGAUGAGCAUCCUUUGAGCUAUUCCUUAGCUAUUUUUAGUUUUUCUAUUGAGAACUCUCUGUUUAGAUCCCUAGGCCAUUUUUAAACUAUGUCUUUUUCUUUUUUCUGUUUUCUUUUGAGCACUUUGUGUGCUGGCUAGUUCUCUGUCAACUGAACACAAGCUAUAGUUAUCUGAAAGGAGAGAAAAUGCCUCCAUAAGAUAAGGCUAUAAAGUAUUUUCUUAACUAGUGAUUGAUAGGGUGGGUCCAACCCAUUGUGGGUGGUGCCAUCAUUGGGCUGGUGGACCUGGGGUGUAUAAGAAAAGCAGGCUGAGCAAGCUAUGAGGAACAAGCCAGUAAGUAAUGCCCCUCCAUGGUCUCUGCAUCAGCUCCUCCCUCCAGGUUUCCUGUAUUCCUUGAAUUCUUGCCCAUACUUCUUUUGAUGAUGAACUGUUAUAUGAAAUUGUGAGUGAAAUAAACCCUUUCAUCGCCAAGUUUCUUUUAGUCUUGGUGUUUCAUUACAGCAAUAAUAACCGUUACUAAGACAAACUAGUACCAGUAGUGUGGUAUUGCUGUUACAGACCUGACUGUGUUGCUUUGAGGGAGGAUUGUGGAAAGACUUUGGAACAUUGAGUAGCGAGAGCUCAGUGAGAUGUUCUGUAGGACCUUUGAAGAUAAGAAUGUUGAGAGCAGUGCAGAAGAUGGAGGCUUGGUUUGUGGAGUUUCAAAGGGAAGCAAAGACUCUCCUAGGCUAGUCUGUGGUGUCUGGCCAGCUUGAUCUGUGAUUAAAAAGUGAUAAGAAUCACAAAAGCAAAACUUUUACUUUUCUGGACCAAUGGAUGAUAGUCAGCUGUGGCUGAAGAAUCGCCUUGAUUAAGAAGAGAUCAGCAUCAUUGAGGUAAAAUCUUCUGGGAAGUGUUUCCUGAGAGUAAGCACACAGAAGCUCUGUUCCAGAGGUGGCCAGUGUUGUACCUUGGGCUAGCAGCUGAACUUGGUAUUGUGUAAGAGUCACCAAGGUGGUGCUGUUUUUGAAGGUGUUAAGGGAUCAUGGAGAACUGAUGAGGCUUGGUACUGUGUGACAGGGAUGGAGUCCCUGAAGAGAGCCCAAGAGAUGCUGUUGGUGAAAGUGCAGUCCAGUUGCAGCAAGAACUCCCAGCAUUUUGGAGAUGGCAGUACCAUUGGAUGACUUCUAAGAACAGCAGGAGCAGUGGAGUGGAGCUGGAAUGAGCCCAGAACACAAGAUGCUCCAGAAUCUUGGAGAAAGACACUCCAUGGUAAUGCUUGCCAGGCUGAAUUCUCAGAAGGCCAGAUGAGCCUGCACCUCAUCAUUCUACUUCACCUUCUAUAUAGUAAAGAGCCCAAGGUUUCCCCAGAGAACUGCACUGUGCCUCCAGAGCUGCUGGGACAGAAGCUAUCCAGAUCUCACUAAGUGCGAAAACACCCUUAUAAUAGGAAGAAGAUGAAGAGGAGGAAGAGGAAGAAGAGGAAAAAGAAGGGUGGUUCUUCCUAGAUCUCUCACCGAUCAAGUG